rnacentral:rRNA from 1 species
UCGUACCUUUUGCAUCAUGAUUUAGCCAGAAAAUUCAAGCAAAGAGACCUUCAGUUUGAAACCCCGAAACCAAGUGAGCUACCCCGGGACAGCCUUAUGGGCCAACCCGUCUCUGUGGCAAAAGAGUGGGAAGAGCCCCGGGUAGAGGUGACAGACCUACCGAACUUGGUGAUAGCUGGUUGCCUGAGAAAUGAAUAGAAGUUCAGCCUCGUGCCCCCUUUAAUCAAAAGUAAUACCUGACCUAGAAUAAAAGAUAAGCACGAGAGUUAGUUAAAGGGGGUACAGCCCCUUUAACCAAGGACACAACUUUACCAGGAGGAUAGGGAUUAUAAUUACAAAAACCCGUCGUUUCAGUGGGCCUAAAAGCAGCCAUCUUAACAGAAAGCGUUAAAGCUCAAACGAUAUAAAAUUUAUUAUUCCAAUAAAAAAUCCCACUCCCCUAUAACUAUCAGGCCAUUCCAUGCCCACAUGGAAGAGACUAUGCUAAAAUGAGUAACAAGAGAAUACACUUCCUCCCAGCACAAGUGUACACCAGAUCGGACAAACCACUGGCUAUUAACGAACCCAAAAAAAGAGGGCAAUAUGAACAACAAAAUAACCAAGAAAACCUCAUACCCCAGAAUCGUUAACCCCACACCGGAGUGCAUUAAGGAAAGACUAAAAGAGAAGGAAGGAACUCGGCAAGCACAAGCCUCGCCUGUUUACCAAAAACAUCGCCUCCUGCAAACCACUAAGUAUAGGAGGUCCAGCCUGCCCAGUGACCACAAGUUCAACGGCCGCGGUAUUUUGACCGUGCAAAGGUAGCGCAAUCACUUGUCUUUUAAAUGAAGACCUGUAUGAAUGGCUAAACGAGGGCUUAACUGUCUCCCAUCUCAAGUCAGUGAAAUUGAUCUGCCCGUGCAGAAGCGGACAUAAAUAUACAAGACGAGAAGACCCUUUGGAGCUUAAGGUACAAAUCCAAGCGUCAAACAGUAAAUAAGCUCUAACCUAGCGAAAAUGGAAUUUUACCUUCGGUUGGGGCGACCACGGAGAAAAAAUCAUCCUCCGAGUGGACUGGGUUUAAUCCUAAAACCAAGAAAAACAUUUCUAAGUCACAGAACGUCUGACCAAUAAUGAUCCGGCCAAUAAGGCCGAUCAACGGACCAAGUUACCCUAGGGAUAACAGCGCAAUCCUCUCCCAGAGUCCAAUCGACGAGGGGGUUUACGACCUCGAUGUUGGAUCAGGA